GUCCUCGACAUGAGGAAAAAGAAAUACAAAAAAUAUGUUGACACGAAUUAAAAUUUUAUGUUAAAUUAAAAAAGUCGCUUUUGAGCGGCGGCAAAGAAUUGUUCUUUGAAAACUGAACAAACAAAAGCGUCAACGUUUAAAAGUGGAGGCGACCGGUUAGCUUCGAAGGGCAUUGGAGCUUCUUCUGUCAAAGUCCUUAAAGACUUUGACAGAAGAAGCGAAAUGACCUCGCUGCUUAAAGCAUCACCUAAAGGUCAUGCUUUGCGCAAAAUUGCGAUGAAGCUAAUUCAAGUAGCUAUUUAGCUGGGAGCCGAAACUGGAUAGCGUUAAUUUUAUUAUUUAUGAGCA
rnacentral:sRNA from 1 species